rnacentral:sRNA from 1 species
UAAUGAUGCCCUCCUCCAAAAUGACUGUAAGAGCCCUUGCCAGAGGUUUCCUGAACGGUCAGCAGGACCUUGACCUUGAAAGCAGAAGUAUGUGUGCUUGCAUGAGCGUGUAUGUUUGCGCGCGCAUGUGUGUGUGGCAGUGAAGACAGGAGAAUCUGUGUGUGGAUUCAUCAUCCCAGUCUCUGCUUGAAGGGAAAUUGCUGGCACUUCAGGAUUGAGAAACACCAUGAAGAAUGUGAGGGCCUUCUCUGUGAUGCUUCUCUACCUCCCUUCACAAGGAAUUAUGGGAAACUCACCAUGACCCUGGACCUGCACGAGGAGGAAAACAGACAGCUGCAUACUUCAUCUUUUGCUCCAAGCCCAAGGUUGAGCAGAACUGUCAAGACCUGUUGAAAAAAAUGUUCCUUACUUUGUGAGGGUUGGGAAACUUCUCACAAAGCUUUUCUAUGAAGAUGACUAUGACAAAUGGAGACAAAAGGCUGGAAAAUGAGGCACCAAGGUGAGGUUUCUGUGAAAGGUUAGGAUUUCUCAGCUGUUACAAGCAUCAGCGGAAAGAGAAGCAGGUGGCCAACCCCUGCUUUCUACUCACAAACAUUUUAAGUGGGUCAUAACUCCCUGUCUGUGAGGAGGUCCUGUAGUGUUUCUAGCGCAUACAGCUUAGUGUGCCAGCACCAACUCUCCUAACCAAAUGGGAACACCACUUUGCUAGCGACUGCCAGUGUAGGCUUUGGAGGCAGGAGACUGGUUGAGUCUUUAACUGAAAUAACUGCUGGAGAGGCUGCCUGGGCUUGAUUGACAUGAGGUUAUCAAUGGAAAGUGUCUCACGUUGUUUCUGAUAACCAAGGCCCAGCAUGAAGGAGUUAUCUUUGCCAGACCUGCAAGGUGGGAAGUCUUGGCAACAGCUCUGGGCGAAACCAAGAACAAGAUGACGCCAAGAUGUUGGUUUCUCUUGAGGGGGUGCAUAUCAGAGAUGCGUGGCCUUUGGGUGGUGUUUGACAUAAAAGGAAAAGAAGAACUGUGUCCUACUCAGAGGACAUGGAAAGGAUGAAGAAGGAGGCGGUCCCAAAUAACAAUAGACACAAGAAGGCUGGGCUUGUCGGUUCACACCUGGAACCGCAGAGGAGCAGAUCGAGAAACGGAACAGCAAAGACCGGAGUUUUAGAAAAUGAAAAGACUGCAGCUUGUGUCUAGUUGGCCCUAACAAGACAGCUGUGAUGUCAGGCUGCUAAGAGUGGAAGAGUCCUGGCAAAGACAAAAUGGAAUAGUCCACGAGAAGCAUUCUCUCAGCACAGCGGCAAUCAGGCUUCAUAAGAGAAAAAGCAGCAAGGGUUUCUAGGUACAGGCCAUGAGACGAGGGUGUGAGAUUCCUGGCUUCUGACGUUUCCUGUGCUCCUUCCUUGAUCAUUGCUUCAGGCACGGGUGCUUCAUCAGAGUCCUUCCAUCUCUUUCCAGCUGUGAUGGGCAAGGAGGCCUCGCACAGCUGCUCUUGCUGGGCGAGAGUCCACAAUUAAAGGCAUCACUGCUCCCA